rnacentral:rRNA from 1 species
CCCACCAUGCAUUGUCCCCGAUCCAGAUAAUGGACCUAGGUUAGAACCCCAACCAUACCAGGGUGGUAUUUCAAGGGUGGCUCCACUCGAACUAGCGUCCAAGCUUCAAAGCCUCCCACCUAUCCUACACAGGUAGGAUCAGAGUUCAAUGCAAAGCUGUAGUAAAGGUGCACGGGGUCUUUCCGUCUGGCCGCGGGUAUACUGCAUCUUAACAGCAAUUUCAAUUUCACUGAGUCUCGGGUGGAGACAGUGUGGCCCUCGUUACGCCAUUCGUGCAGGUCGGAACUUACCCGACAAGGAAUUUCGCUACCUUAGGACCGUUAUAGUUACGGCCGCCGUUUACUUGGGCUUCGAUCAAAAGCUUCGGACGAAUCCUAACCUCAUCAAUUAACCUUCAAGCACCGGGCAGGCGUCACACCCUAUACGUCCACUUACGUGUUUGCAGAGUGCUGUGUUUUUAAUAAACAGUCGGAGCCACCUGGUAUCUUCAACUCUUACCAGCUCAUUUAGCAAGUAAAAUCACCGGCAAGAGCACACCUUCUCCCGAAGUUACGGUGUCAUUUUGCCUAGUUCCUUCACCCGAGUUCUCUCAAGCGCCUUAGAAUUCUCAUCUCGUCCACCUGUGUCGGUUUGGGGUACGGUUUCAUAUAACCUGAAGCUUAGAGGAUUUUCCUGGAAGCAUGGUAUCACGCACUUCUCCCAAAAGAGGGAUCGUUAUCACGCCUUGAGCUUUAGAACUAAAUCUAAGGUUCCCGGAUUUUCCUAAGAACCUACUCUACACGCUUGAACCUGGACAACCAUCGCCAAGCUACGUUAACCUUCUCCGUCUUCCCAUCGCAGUUAUAUGAAGUAUGGGAAUAUUAACCCAUUUCCCAUCGACUACGCAUUUCUGCCUCGCCUUAGGGGCCGACUAACCCUACGCCGAUUAACGUUGCGUAGGAAACCUUGGACUUCUGGCGAGGGGGUUUUUCACCCCCUUUAUCGUUACUCAUGUCAGCAUUCGCACUUCUGAUACCUCCAGCAAACCUCAUAGUUCACCUUCAACGGCUUACAGAACGCUCUCCUACCAUCGCAAUAAAUUGCGAUCCGUAGCUUCGGUAUGUAGUUUUAGCCCCGUUAAAUCUUCCGCGCAAACCGACUCGACCAGUGAGCUAUUACGCACUCUUUAAAGGAAUGGCUGCUUCUAAGCCAACCUCCUGGCUGUCUGGGCCUUUUCACAUCGUUUCCCACUUAACUACAAUUUUGGGACCUUAGCUGACGGUCUGGGUUGUUUCCCUUUCCACUACGGACGUUAGCACCCGCAGUGUGUCUCCCAUGCUCAUACUUGUCGGUAUUCGGAGUUUGCAAUGGUUUGCUAAGCCUUGACGACCCGCUAGCCAUAACAGCGCUCUACCCCCGACAGUAAUACAUGAGGCUCUACCUAAAUAGAUUUCGGAGAGAACCAGCUAUCUCCGGGUUUGUUUGGCCUUUCACCCCUAUCCACAGCUCAUCCCCUCAUUUUUCAACAUAAGUGGGUUCGCGCCUCCAGUUAGUUUUACCUAACCUUCACACUGGCCAUGGAUAGAUCACCCGGUUUCGGGUCUACUCCCAGCAACUAAACGCCCAUUUAAGACUCGGUUUCCCUACGGCUCCCCUAUUGGUUAACCUUGCUACUGAGAAGUAAGUCGCUGACCCAUUAUACAAAAGGUACGCAGUCACGGAAUAAAUCCGCUCCUACUGCUUGUAUGCAUACGAUUUCAGGUUCUAUUUCACUCCCCUCCCGGGGUUCUUUUCGCCUUUCCCUCACGGUACUUGUUCACUAUCGGUCAUUAGAGAGUAUUUAGCCUUGGA